rnacentral:lncRNA from 1 species
AUAGAGAAUAUGGAUCCUAGAUAUUUCUAAUCAAUCAUUUUUUAUUUUGGGGAGGAACAAAAGUAUUUCAUUGCUACAAAUAUGGAUUAUUAAAAAAAUAAGACAUGUAUUUGGAUAUUUCCCUGCAACUUAAGACUUAACAAAAUUAGCGUCUUAUUUUUUUAUUUGACAUACACGAAUAGUUGAGAGGGAUUCUCCGAAGAAAAAACGGAUUAUGGGAGUGUGUGACUUGAACUACAGCCUGGCAAAUAGACAUCCAUAGGAAUUAGCUUAUCAACUCCCCGAACAGUACUAUAAGAAUCGGUACUGAACAUACCCCCUGUAAUUGUACAGGCUCCCAUAGCAAUAACAUAUUUUGGUUCGGGCAUUUGCUCAUAUAAUCUAACUAAAGAAGGAGCCAUUUUCAUAGUUACUGUGCCCGCUGUUAAAAUAAGGUCUGCCUGCCUAGGACUAGAUCGCGGUACCAGUCCAUAACGAUCAAAGUCGAAUCGUGAUCCUAUUAAUGAAGCAAAUUCAAUGAAGCAACAACUGGUACCAUAGAGAAGCGGCCAUAAACUGGAUAGUCUUGACCAAUUUGAAAGAUCAUUUAAUGUAGUUGAAAUAACUGAAUUUUGGGUUGUUCGAUCAAGUAAGGGAAACUCAAUGGAAUUCAUAACUGUCUAAAUAUUUUUUUUUAUCUAAAUAUUCAAGAAUUAAGACCAUUCUAAUGCCCCUUUUCGCCAUGCAUAAACUGAACCAACAAUUAGGAUAAGCACAAAAAUUAAGUUCAUGGAUUCAAUUUAACCUAGGUAUCCAUAGAGCAAUAAAUGAUUUUUAUAUCUGAAACUCAUUAGAAAAGAAGGGAAAUCUACGAGAAAAAAAAAAUCAUUAUAUAAAUGAGAAAAGCCUCCAAGGUCCCAUCCCCAAAAUGCUAGGAGGUGUUUGGAAAUGGUUGAAGUAGUUGAAUAGGAGGAUCACUAUGACUAUAGCUCUUGGUAAAUUUACCAAAGAUGAAAAUGAUUUAUUUGAUAUUAUGGAUGACUGGUUACGGAGGGACCGUUUUGUUUUUGUGGGUUGGUCCGGUCUGUUGCUCUUUCCUUGCGCCUAUUUUGCUUGAUAACAAAGCAAAGUAAGUUGAUCAGUUAAUUAAAUAGAAAUAAUAAAAUAAUAAAUCGGAGUUAGUACUCUAGUUUGUACCAUCCAAACAAUUCAAUUGUUUAACGUACUCCGAAUGGGAUAAGAAAAUUCCGAAUACGUAUACGUAUUUAUUCCCUUUCUUCUAUUAAUUGAAGAAAUAAUUUGAAAAUAAAUCAGCAAGUACAAAAAUGAGUAAUAACCCCUAGUAGAGACUGGUACGAUUCAAUUCUACAUUUUGUUCGUUUGGGUUUGAUUGUGUCGUAGCUCUAUAAUUCAGAUUAGGUUUAUCGUUGGAUGAAUUGCAUUGCUGAUAUUGAUCCCAAAAAAGAAACAGUGGGUACUGCUAGUCCGUGAACAGCCAACCAUCGUACUGUAAAAAUUGGAUAGGUCCUAUCUAUCGCUCGUUGGAUCAAAUCGUUUUUGUUUACAUGUUUUGUAAUUAUAAGAAAGAAAUUCUUUUUUAUUUGCUUGGAAUGAUGAUUCAUAUCUAGAAAUAUAUGAGUCUUUCUUAUCUUUAAUGGAUUGAUAUGAAAAAAGAUCAUAUUCAUAUUGUGUGUUUUUUUUUAAUGAGCCUAAUUGUUGGUUUUUGUAAGGAAUUGAUCUAGUUUUUUCAUAUGAAUCACAUUUUUUUAAAUCUUUAUUUUGAAUGACAUGACGUCUUCUCCAUAUUACUAUAUCUCUAGAGUCAAUAAUUUUAUAUGAGGAACUACUGAACUCAAUCACUUGCUGCCGUUACUCUUCAGUUUUCUGUUGAGGUCUAUCCUGUGGAGGUACUCAAAUUGGAUCAGUGAUCGAUUUCUAGGUUUCGCCGUAAACCUAAUUAGUUGCUUCCAAUUACGUAAAUCAAUAGUUCAAACCGCACUCAAAGGUAGGGCAUUUCCCAUUUUAAUAGGAACUUCUGUACCAGAAACAAUAGUAUCUCCAAUUAUAGCCCCUCUGGGGUGUUAAAUAUAUCUUUUCUCACCAUCCCCAUAAUGUAUGAGACAGAUGUAUGCAUUUCGAUUAGGGUCGUAUUCUAUGGUUACGAUUCUACCAUAUAUGUCUUUUUCAUUCCGGCGAAAAUCGAUUUUACGGUAUAGAUGCUUAUGACCUCCCCCUCUAUGCCCUGCGGUAAUGAUUCCUCUGGCAUUAUGGCAAUCGCCUGAAUCUUAAGACGUUCUUCGAACCAAUCAUAGACUUCAUUGAGAUAGGUAAACCAAAGGAACUCCCCUUCUGAGAACCGUAUAUGAGAAUUUUAUCUCGUACGGCUCAAACAGAAAAACCCAAUACUGGUUGUAACAGAAACGGAUAUGUUAAAUAAUAAAAAAUUUUAAACUUCUUAAUUUAAUCCUAUUAUUCCAAAUCUUAUUUGAAGAUAAGAAAAAUAUAUAAAUCCUUAAAUUGAUCUGUGUAGGGUUAUAAUGCCAAAAUCUCAAGUCGGCGCACUCGUCUUUAUCUUGAUCUUUACAGGCCUCUUGAAUAUUCUAUUUACUUCAUUUUUUCUUUGAUUUUUUUGUAGAAUGCGACUUUUUUAGUAAACAAUUUCUACUUAGUCUAUUUAGUACUUAGUCUAUUUAUAAAGUAGAACAUUUUUAUUAGUCUUUUUUUUUAUUAAUGAAUAAUGAUAUCUUCUUUAUAUUGCUACCUCCGGGCCCAAAUAACUCAAUUUUCUACCAUGAACUAUUUGGGUCAUGGAUUGGUUCGAUCCAGAACUUAAGAUAAUGGGAUUUUUGGCGCAAUCGCCCGGGAAUUGAGACAGUUAAAUUUCACUAAAGGACGAGGAGGGAUUCGAACCUCCGACACUGUGGUUCGUAGCCACGUGCUCUAAUCCUCUAAGCUACAUGCCCAUCCCAUCUCCACUUCUUCCCCAUACUACGAGAGAAAGGGAAAAUGUGAAAACUACCAUUAAAGCAGCGAGGCGAACUGCUAGUUUUCGGAUACGAGAUAUCCAUCCUAGUCAUUAUGGACGCAUUUGUCCAAUUGAUACGUCUGAAGGAAUCAAUGUUGGUUCAAACAAAACAUACCUUGAAAAUGUUCAUCGUUCUCUAAACAUUUUAUUUAUAUUUUUUAUUUUGAAUUCAACCGGACUGGACCUGGUGACCCAAACACUGAUCUGAACCUAGUUGAAUAAUUUACCCAGGUCGAUUUUUUAAGUUUUGAUUUUGACCAAGUCAUAAUAAAAUCAGGUCAAACUUGACCAAAAUUGAUCAAACCCAAACCGGGUCUUCGGCCGAACUGGACAAUGAACACCCUUAAAUGAAAUUCAGAUUUCCAGCAAAAUAAUUUUUAUGACCACAUAUGCGGCUUAGUCAUUACAAAAGGUUCCAGUAUGAUUCAGCAUGUUAAAGAUACAAAAUCGAUCAUUAAGUCCAAUUAUCUCUAGUAGUGAAACAUUGCAACCUCAGUAUUGAAGGAUUCUAAACAUCAAGCAUGAAUUUAAGAAUUGAAGAAUUUCAAACACCAUAUUAUUUGAAACAAUGCAUAUGAACCCCAACUCAGGGACAUGCGUAUGCAACAAAAAUUACAAAAUCAGACUCACUAGACGCCUGCGUCAGUUUUUCAUUGUUUCCCUUCCCUUAAUACCAUGUCAACUUUCAUUUUCAAACAGCUAAAACCAUUCCCUAUCGAAAAAUCAGAAACUGGAUAGCUAGACUGAAGGGAAACAUAAACCUAGGCAGGAGGCGGCGCAUUGUGUGCUUCACUUGAGCUCUUUUUCGACUUGUGCUUUGAUUUCUUCUCUCGCUUCUUUCCCCUGUAAAGCAAUCCAAAAUUAUACAGCAUGAAAUAUCUCAAACACAUUUUGCAGUGAGGUUUAGAAGUAAAUGACUAGCUUGCAAUUCAACAUAAGGGUUAAGGAAGUACUCGUCAUGAGAGCUUUGACCCCAACAAGACUUCAGUUUCCUAUUGAUAUGCUUCAAUUCUUUAUCUGAAGGAAAUUUGUAUUUCAUAACCUGGAUAUUUAGAUGCAAGCAACAUUGGCUCCAUAUUCAAAUGACAAAUAUUCAACUUAGUGACAAAUAUUCAAAUGAGACACAAUACCAAAGAAUCAAUUGUGUUAAGUGCUUCAAUAAGCUCGGACAUUGUAUGUGUGGAGUUUUGACGAGAAAAUAAACUGCUCAGAUAACUGCAGUAGUAGAAAAGCGUAUAAACCAAUACAUUAAUUUUCAUCAAAGAAUACUACAAGAUAAUAUCCAAGACAAAUUCUGUCUCAGAAUCAAAUUUUGCAGAGAAAAAAUGUGAAGGGAUAAGGUACCUGUCAAAGUCAAUAACUUGAUGGAGUGCAACUGAACUGCGCAAAGCAGCUAAAGCCAACUGCAUUAAAAGACUCGAUCAUAUAGAUAUUAAGAUUGGAGGCAAAAAGGUUUAUAACUAAUUUGAACUAGAAGGUUGGAACUAGAUUGGCGAUAAACUGUAGAGGGUGUUUGGUUUGUUGCCUUGUUCUAUUUGUAGACAAAAUAUUUGAGAAACAUAGCAUUGUUUUCUGUUAACCAGUCUCUCCAAAACAUCAAUUAAUUUGAAUACAUCAGUAGCGUUUCAUAAAAUGAAAUUCAUUAAUUCGUGUCACAACACAGUAGAUACAAUUCGGAGUUCUGAAAGUUACAUAAUAUUGUUAGACUACCUGCGCAGGAGGAAAUAAAAGUGGUGCAUCUGUAAGCAUCAUUUUAUCAAUUUCCAAUCUAGCUGUGUCUUGUAAUCUCUACACAUCACGAGAAAAAGCAAGUUAUUUCGGAUUUUCAACAUCCUGGAAUUCACUCAAUAAAACAACAGUUAAACAGAUAAAACUGUAGCUCUGAAAAUCUGUCAUAGGAUUAUGGCGUAUGGUGUAGCGGGAAAUGGCUGAAAUGGUGGAUGGACUGAAAAUCUAUCAAUAUUAGCAACUUUCUACUCAUAAAGCAUCAAUUAAUUCAGCAAAUUCAACAAAUAAACACAAUAUUAAGUCACCAAAAACAUAAGAGAUGAUGAGUAGUGACCCUAUGUAAAUUGAAAUAAAGGAUAAAGAAUACAGGUUCAGAACUUCAAACUGAAUGGAAGAGAGGAACAAACCAGAAAAACCAAAAUAUUCAAAAAAAAAAGGAAAAGAAAAAAAGGAUAAGAUAAAGUAAUGUUUUUGUAAAGCUAGGGAAGGAAAAGUUGGAAAUGAAAACCACCUAGCGUGGAGGAGGAGGGCCAACUGCUGGCAGCAGCAAUGCUGCGGUGCGAGAUGCUGCAACGGCUUCUUCGUCGAGCAGCAGAUGGCGCCUCCAGCAGCAGAGAGAACAACGAAGAGGGAAAACAGAGGAGGAGGAGGAGGAGGAGCGCAGCACACAGCAGUAACGCUAUUGGCAGUUCUUCCAGAUGCGAAGAGGUAGGGAGUCCGACAGAGAGGGAAGAGAUUUUUGGGUUGGUGAGGGAACCAGAGGCUAAAAAGCUAGUGUCUGAGAAUUUGAGCUCUCUAACUUGGCUAUUAUGGUUUCCUAAAUGACCAAAAUAACCAUCAAAUGCAAAAAGAAAAAAUUACACCCAAGCCUCCCAUUUCCGCCAUUCACAUUGCGGACCACCAUAGCGUAAUGGCGGUGGCCCCAAAAUCCGCCACGUCAUUUCCCCAUGGCACCAUGAUAACCACAAUUUCAAAACACUGAUCACAAUGUAUUCUUGCAUGAGUAAAUGUAUAAAAUAAUGAUUUCCCCCUUAAGAAAAAAAGAAAAAAUAUGGAAAUCAUCUCAGACCAGUAUUUUGGAUAGUAGGAGUAGUACCUUCAACAUUUGAAGCUGGUCCUCGCUAGCAUUGCAAAAGUCCUUUCAUCAUUGCCAUUGAUCACAAAUUCCAGCAUAAAAUAAGAUCAGUAGUAAAAUCCAAUGAUAAUAGCAGACUAUAAAAAUCAUGCCAUUCAAUAUGAUGUAAAAAAAACAGACAAUUUAAUUUAAAAUUCCACUCAUUGACCAACCAAAGCAUACCUCCAUAUCAUCCAUAAAACCUUCAAGUGAACGAUAUGGUGCAUAAACAAUAAGAUCAAAUUCCAAACUCUACAAAACAAGUAUUUCAUAUCAUCAAAGAAUAAAAGUUAAGAUAAUAAUAAAAAGAUACAUAGAUUAGAUAUGUUAAGCCUAUCCAUGCCUGAUAAACUAUCAUCUCAUUAUUGAGAAUCAUUUGAUGAUCCUGUGAGAUCCCUUUACCAAGCUCCUCAGCAGAGACAUGGUUUUCUUCUAUCUUACAAGCAGCAUAUAUGCAGGUCAACCUAUAAAAAAUUCAGUCCAAGUUAUUGACAGGCUAACAUGUAAUAAAAACAUUUAACUAAAAAACAAAAUCAAAGAUUUAAAGCCAGGCAAUCAGCUCUAUCUUGAUAAUAACAUUGCUUGGUUUGGGUGGAGGCUGGUGUCAGAUGAAGGUGAGGGUGAAGAGAGAUGGUGAGGGAUGGAGAAGGUAUAACAAGAACAUAUAUUUUUUCCUCCCUCUUUUGGUGGUUGCUUCCAAGGACUUGAUUACAAAACUUUAGCGAUUCAAAAUCACGGACCUAAUUACAAAUAAACCACAGGAACCAACCAAAUAACUAAACCUUGAAAAACAAUUAAAAUUUACAAAUACAACCCUGGCUUGGAUGAACUGUAAUACAGCGAGCUGCACAAGUAAUCAAUCAAACAAUUACAACGAAAGUAGGAUUUUACGCACAAGUCCCCUAGAAUAAAAAAAAGAAAGGUUUUCGUUUGAAGCCUAAGACUUCUAAAUUCCCAAUAAACUGAAUGCAUGAAAAAUCUUAUAAGGCUUCCACCUUUUUUUUUUAAUCAUUUAGCAAAACUCUUAUAAAUAAUAUGUAACUGUUCAUCUUUAGUCCAAACUCCAAAGGUCAUCUUAUAGGAAUCUGAGCAGUCAAAAUUGGGCCUCUGCUGUACAGCGCCUGACGACAACAGGAUAUAGGUAUUAGGGAAAGGAAUUUCAACAAAAAAAAAAAACUGUGCAGAAGGAACUAGGAAACUUCAGGGACUCUAGGACACCCUCUGCUCUUGUAGAUCCAGAACACCAAUGAAUGCACACCGUUUUCUAGGUAUAUUACUCUAUUUCUUUGUACUCUGAACCAGUUAUCACCUAUAUAGACUGAGACAAAUCACAAACCUUACAUUAUAUGUUUUGGCUGAUGUUCCAUUACUGACCAGUGCAGGUAGAACCUUUUAAAAUAGAUAAGGGCCGUUGCCUACAUAUCAUAAUGUUUACAAAAUUAGUUCAUAAACACAGACUGUUUAUAAAAUCUGGAAACUGAAGAGGAGCUUGCAUACCUGGAUCUUAUGAGGGAAGUGGAAAUUUUUACAAACUUCUUGUAGCUUGUUUUCAUAAAACACUUUUAUAGAUUGUUCUUCUUCAAUACUAAGAGGUUUUGACCGAGAAUGCUUUUCAGCUGACAGAAAAUAAUACCCUUCUUAACAGUUAGAAAUUUUAAAUAAACUAUCACGAGCAACACAAAGCAUUUUCCAAAGCAAUUGAAAAUUAGAAGACAGAGCAUUAUCAACAUCCUAAGAAAGGAAUGAGUGAAUUCUCCUGAAAUCACAUUUACCAUUAUCCUUCGCAGAAUUCUGAGGUUCAGGAUAUGACAUUGUCCCAUCACUAUCUACUUCCAUCAGAGUUGCUCCACACUAUUAAGAAAAUUUAAUAGCCAUCAUUAACCAGAUAUAAACUUAAAACUGUUCAAUGAAACGUUAUUUAUGUAGGAAAUAAAAUAAAACAAAAAACAAUAAUCCCCGCAUGAUUAGACCACAAACAUCCAAAAAUGAAAAAUGUAAAGUAAAUAUAAACUUAAAAAUGUUCAAUGAAACGUUAUUUAUGUAGGAAAUAAAAUAAAACAAAAAGUAAUAAUCCCCACAUGAUUAGACCAAAAAUAUCCAAAAAUAAAAAAUGUAGCCCCCCUUGCUUUCUGAUUGAAAAUGUUGCAAAUUAAAAAUAUAUUUAUAAGAACAAAAAAA